GAUGAACGCUGGCGGCGUGCUUAACACAUGCAAGUCGAACGGAAAGGCCCAAGCUUGCUUGGGUACUCGAGUGGCGAACGGGUGAGUAACACGUGGGUGACCUGCCCUGCACUUCGGGAUAAGCCUGGGAAACUGGGGCUAAUACCGGAUAGGACGAUGGCUUGGAUGCCAUGGUGGAGAGUUUGGUCGGUGUGGGAUGAGCUCGCGGCGUGUCAGGUUGUUGGUGGGGUCAUGGCCUACCAAGGCAACGCCGGGUAGGCGGCCUGAGAGGGGGUACGGACACAUUGGGGGUGCGGUACGGUCCAGACUCCUGCGGGGGGCAGCAGUGGGGAAUAUGGCACAAUGUGAGCAAGCCUGAUGCAGCGAGGCCGCGUGGGCGAUGAGGGCCUUCGGGUUGUAGACUCCUGUCGCGCGGGAAGAAGCGUUUUUGUGACGGUACCUGGAGAAGAAGCACCGGCUAACUACGUG
rnacentral:rRNA from 1 species